ensembl:lncRNA
AUGCAACCAAUUACUCCUAACUUAAUUAUCCAAACUGUUGCUCAGGCAUCAACACCUGCCACAUUCCCCAAUAGCUUGAAGGAAGUCCACAUGGUUCCAUUCGGUGACAAGAAUAAGCCUUCUGAUGGUAGGUGGAAGCUUACUUUAAAUAAACAGCCUCCUCCAGGUAUGCCUUUAGUCAUGCUUCUGCCAGUUUCCACUACACAGUACUCAUCUACCUCAGAUCCUACCCAGAGCUCCCAAAACGUUUUACCAUCCUCUCUGGUCUUAGAAACACCCUCAUCUGCUCCACGUGUGGUCUCCAUGCCGGUGGUCCCAUCCGGCACUGUCAUUAAUACAGAGGCAGAGAAAGACUCAGUAGAGUCCUGCAGAACCAAUAUUCCUUCAAAUACACUCAUUCCUGAGCAAAGUCAUGACAGUACCUCAAAGAAGAGGUGGACCGUUUUAGAAGAUCAGGGUUCUGUUCAAGUGUUUAGGGCAGAAAAUUUAAAGGCAGGUGAACAGGCUGCAGUAGCAAAUCAGGAAAUGAACAUUACUGCUCAAGUAGAAGCAGAGAAUGAGCAGAAAACUUCAAAUUUGACGCCUAAUGCACUGUGCAUUGAAAAAACGUUUCCAGGGAGUCCAUCGGAUACUGCAUCUCUCAAUCUCACAUGCCCCAUGACACCAUUAUGCCUAAAGGAGGAGAAGGAUGACGGGGACAGCAUCAAGAAAAGGUCUUCAAUUUUGAAGGACCUCGACUCCCUGCCUGUAAUGGCAGGAGUAGAAGUUUGUGCCCCUUUAAAAAGAAAAUCAGAAAAGGAAACGCUGGAUUCCCCGCAAACAGGGUCUCAUAAUCUACUUUCUGAUUCUUCAGAAAUUACUUACCACAAAAAGGCCAGUAAAGAUCAGAGAUCGUUCAAAGAAGUUGUGUCAUCUGACAGGAUGUGCGCACAAAUGGAAUUUACCAUGACGGGGGACAAAUCAGAAAACUGUCCGCAGGGGCAAAACGAAUCUGGAUUUGAUGUAGAGGUGGAAAUGAAUGAAGAUGUGGAAUCGAGCAGCAUGGAAGUGGAGAUUGGGGAUGAAGACAGCGGAGUUGAUAUGUUGGAAGGUAUGCUUCAUGAGUGUGUGACUUGUGGACAAGUCCUUCCUGAAAAGGAUUUGAUCCAGCACUACAUGAAGCAUGCAGCCGACACCGACAGUCCUGAGCUCUCUCCUAACUGUGCCUCUCACACUACAGAACAAUCCCCUCCAUGUAGUCCAUCAAGAAAAAGACUGCGAUCUGGCAUGGAGUUUUGA